AUUUCUUCUAGUAGCUCUAUACUACUGGUUGUAGUAUUGUUGAUUACAGAUAUAGCUGUCGCUUCGUAUACAGGAGAAAUUCUUUUGUAUACGGCGGAUUUGUCGGCGUGCUCGGGAAAACGAGUAAUCCGGGGCGUGACAGAUUCCGAUUCUUUUACACCAUUAAACUAGCAAGUAUUCCAUACCGGCCGUUAAAAAUUGUCAAUUUUGUGACCUUUUGAUCGUAAGGUAAAUGAUGUCGAAAAAUUAUGAAAUUUGAUUUCUAGAAGUUUUAAAUGCUCUAGAUAACGUUUGACGGUAUGGAUCGUCGAUUCGAAAACUCUAUCAUCGAAAAGAACUUAUGAGUGUGAGGGCGAUCAUACUCAUAAUAGUAUAGUAGCCGGACUCCUUAUAUCUAUACUAUAUAUAAAAGGACGUAUUUUAAAAUUUAGGGAAAACUUCCCCCUCUGUGGUUUCACACUUUCUCACUUUAGUACCAUGUGGUUUAAAGUGUAUCAAGCUAGUAUCUUGUGGUUUCGCAUUUUCUCACUUUAGUACCCUGUGGUUUAAAGUGUACGUAUCAAGUUAGUACUCUGUGGUUCCAUUUUGUAUCAAGUUAGUAUCUUGUGGUUUCAUUUUUUUUUUCUUUUUAUUAUUCAUUUCGGGGUAUUUUUUUUGUUAAAUUAAUGACAAAGUUAAAACUAGAGGGUAAUAAAAUGAAUAUUCGAUAAACCUAGAUAGGGUAUAUGAAGUUUUUGUAAAUAAUUUAACCAAAUAUUAAACCACAGGGUACUAAAGAGAAAAAGUGCGAAACCACCUGAUACUAACUUAAUACACUUUAAACCACAUGGUAUUAAAGUAAGAAAGUACGAAACCAUAUGGUACUAACUUGAUACACUUUAAACCACAUGGUAUUAAAGAGAGAAAGUGCGAAACCACAUGAAGGUAUUUAAAGUUUUUCCUAAAAUUUAGUCUGUCGACAAAUCUAUUUCAAAAAAAUUUAAAGAUAAGAAUAGAACUAUAAAGAUAGGAAUAGAAAUCGAUGGAAAGAGAUAUAUAAAUAAAUAAACUU
rnacentral:lncRNA from 1 species